UUGGUUAAGUUAGAAAGGGCGCACGGUGGAUGCCUUGGCACUAGGAGCCGAAGAAGGACGGGACUAACACCGAUAUGCUUUGGGGAGCUGUACGUAAGCGUUGAUCCAGAGAUUUCCGAAUGGGGGAACCCACUAUCUUUAGUCGGAUAGUAUCCUUACGUGAAUACAUAGCGUGAGGAAGGCAGACCCAGGGAACUGAAACAUCUAAGUACCUGGAGGAAGAGAAAGAAAAAUCGAUUUCCUGAGUAGCGGCGAGCGAAACGGAAAGAGCCCAAACCAAGAAGCUUGCUUCUUGGGGUUGUAGGACACUCUAUACGGAGUUACAAAAGAAAGUUAUAAAUGAAGCGGUCUGGAAAGGCCCGCCAAAGACGGUAACAGCCCGGUAGUUGAAAUGGCUUUCCCUCCAGAGUGGAUCCUGAGUACGGCGGAACACGUGAAAUUCCGUCGGAAUCCGGGAGGACCAUCUCCCAAGGCUAAAUACUCCCUAGUGACCGAUAGUGAACCAGUACCGUGAGGGAAAGGUGAAAAGCACCCCGGAAGGGGAGUGAAACAGUUCCUGAAACCGUGUGCCUACAAGUAGUUAGAGCCCGUUAAUGGGUGAUAGCGUGCCUUUUGUAGAAUGAACCGGCGAGUUACGAUUUGUUGCAAGGUUAAGCGGAAAAAGCGGAGCCGUAGCGAAAGCGAGUCUGAAUAGGGCGCAUAAGUAACAGGUCGUAGACCCGAAACCAGGUGAUCUACCCAUGUCCAGGAUGAAGGUAAGGUAAUACUUACUGGAGGUCCGAACCCACGCACGUUGAAAAGUGCGGGGAUGAGGUGUGGGUAGCGGAGAAAUUCCAAUCGAACUUGGAGAUAGCUGGUUCUCUCCGAAAUAGCUUUAGGGCUAGCCUCGAGGUAAAGAGUCAUGGAGGUAGAGCACUGUUUGGACUAGGGGCCCUUCUCGGGUUACCGAAUUCAGAUAAACUCCGAAUGCCAUGUACUUAUACUCGGGAGUCAGACUGCGAGUGAUAAGAUCCGUAGUCGAAAGGGAAACAGCCCAGACCACCAGUUAAGGUCCCCAAAUAUAUGUUAAGUGGAAAAGGAUGUGGGGUUGCUUAGACAACCAGGAUGUUGGCUUAGAAGCAGCCACCAUUGAAAGAGUGCGUAAUAGCUCACUGGUCGAGUGACCCCGCGCCGAAAAUGUACCGGGGCUAAACAUAUUACCGAAACUGUGGAUGAACCUCUUUAGAGGUUCGUGGUAGGAGAGCGUUCUAAGGGCGGUGAAGUCAGACCGGAAGGACUGGUGGAGCGCUUAGAAGUGAGAAUGCCGGUAUGAGUAGCGAAAGAAGGGUGAGAAUCCCUUCCACCGAAUAUCUAAGGUUUCCUGAGGAAGGCUCGUCCGCUCAGGGUUAGUCGGGACCUAAGCCGAGGCCGAUAGGCGUAGGCGAUGGACAACAGGUAGAGAUUCCUGUACCAGUGCUAAUUGUUUAACCGAUGGGGUGACACAGAAGGAUAGGGAAUCGCA
rnacentral:rRNA from 1 species